rnacentral:misc_RNA from 1 species
GAUGAAGAACGUAGCGAAAUGCGAUACUUGGUGUGAAUUGCAGAAUCCCGUGAACCAUCGAGUCUUUGAACGCAAGUUGCGCCCGAAGCCAUCAGGUUGAAGGCACGUCUGCCUGGGCGUCACAUAUCGUUGCCCAAUGCCUAUUGCAGUGCAAUAGGAAUUUCUAGGGCGAAUGAUGGCUUCCCGUGAGCGUUGUUGCCUCGCGGUUGGUUGAAAAUCGAGUCCUUGGUAGGGUGUGCCAUGGUAGAUGGUGGUCGAGUUAGAACGAUACCGAUCAUGUGCAUGCUCCCCAAAAUAUGGCCUCUAUGACCCACACGCGUCUUUUGACGCUCAUGACGAGACCUCAGGUCAGGCGGGGCUACCCGCUGAAUUUAAGCAUAUCAAUAAGCGGAGGA